rnacentral:rRNA from 1 species
ACGAACGCUGGCGGCGUGCCUAACACAUGCAAGUCAAGGAGAACGGGGUAGCAAUAUCCCUAGUAAACUGGCGCACGGGUGAGUAACACGCAGGCAACCUGCCUAUAGGACGGGGAUGACUCAGCGAAAGCUGGACUAAUACCCGAUAAUGCAGCGGCACCGCAUGGUGAUGUUGUUAACGCCCGCAAGGGCGCCUAUAGAUGGGCCUGCGUCCCAUUAGGUAGUUGGUGAGGUAACGGCCCACCAAGCCUACGAUGGGUAGCUGGUCUGAGAGGAUGAUCAGCCACACUGGAACUGAGACACGGUCCAGACUCCUACGGGAGGCAGCAGUGAGGAAUAUUGCGCAAUGGCCGAAAGGCUGACGCAGCGACGCCGCGUGAGGGAUGAAGUCCGUUAGGAUGUAAACCUCUUUUUCAGGGGAUGAAUGUUCCCGUUCACCGGGAAUUGACCGUACCCUGCGAAUAAGGAUCGGCUAACUACGU